UGGACAGUAGAGAAGAAUCCAAGAGGAAUUUUCUGGUGUUAUUAAUCCCUGCAGGUCUCACAACCAAGGAAGAGGAGGAAGGAUGAAGGAGUUUUUGGCUCCUGAACCUAUCAGCGGGGGUAGAAGAAAACCUAAACAAACACCAGGUCCCCAGUGGGGUGCGAACCAAGAUAUCCUCACUGAUAAACCUGCAAAUGACUUCUGUGCCACCUUUCUGACUUCCCAAUGCGGAUUUUACCUUUCUGCAAAAUGCUACUGUUAUCUCUUCCUUCUGGCCUUUCUGGAUGUUUGCACGGACCCUGACGCCCACCUGCUGACGACACUCGCUCAGGCCCAAGUGGAGUUUUAAAGUGUGGCAACAACACGGAGGUAGCAGACUCAGCGCUGACAGACAUUUCUUCAUGGCUGAAUCAUUUUUCCUUCUUAAUGAUGCUCGUUUGUUUCCUCGUUAGAUUCCCACA
ensembl:lncRNA